UACAGAGGUCCCAAGCGUUGUUCGGAUUCACUGGGCGUAAAGGGUGCGUAGGUGGUGAGGUAAGUCUGAUGUGAAAUCUCCGAGCUUAACUCGGAAAUGGCAUUGGAAACUACCUUGCUGGAGGGUCGGAGGGGGGACUGGAAUUCUCGGUGUAGCAGUGAAAUGCGUAGAUAUCGAGAGGAACACCAGUGGCGAAGGCGAGUCCCUGGACGACUCCUGACACUGAGGCACGAAAGCUAGGGGAGCAAACAGG
rnacentral:rRNA from 1 species